CAAUAGCGUAUAUUAAAGUUGUUGCGGUAAAAAAGCUCGUAGUUGGAUUUCUACCGAAGAUAGCCGGUCGGGUCUUCGACCUUGUAUCUGGUUUUGUCUUUGGUAUCCUCAUAGGGAACGUUUCUGCGCUUUAUUGCGUGGUGCGGUAUCUAUGACUUUUACUUUGAGGAAAUUAGAGUGUUCGCGGCAGGCAAACGCCUUGAAUAUAUUAGCAUGGAAUAAUAACAUAGGAUCUUCGUCCUAUUUUGUUGGUUUCUAGGGCUAAGAUAAUGAUUAAUAGGGAUAAUUGGGGGCAUCUGUAUCAACGCGUCAGAGGUGGAAUUCUUGGAUUGCGUUGCGACAAACUACUGCGAAAGCAUUUGCCAAGGAUGUUUUCAUUGA
rnacentral:rRNA from 1 species